UAGAGACGAGGUUUCACCAUGUUGCCCAGGCUGGUCUUGAACUCCUGGCCUCGGGUGAUCCACCCACCUCGGCCUCCCAAAGUGCUGGGAUAACAGGCGUGAGCCACCGCGCCUGGCCCCAUCUGUGCUUUUAAGCAACAAAUGUACCAGUGGCGAUGGUAGGAGGGAGGGUGAACACUGCCCGCUUUCUGUCCCCAUCUUUGUGAAACUCCUGCUCUUGGGAGGACUGAUGGGUUGACACCCACCUGCAGCACAGGGUACUGGAGGGGAGGUGAAUAGUGGUUAGAACCCGGGCGACUCCGAUGUGCCUUUUCCAUUUCUCCACAUACUCUGUUCUGUCCGACAGAGGGAAGGUUAGGAGGCCGAGCACGGUGACUCCUGCCUAUAACCCCAGCAUUUUGGGAAGCCGAGGCAGGAUCACUUGAGCCCAGGACAUAGAGAACAGCCUAGGUCAAAAGAGUAUCUCCAGAGAACACAAGAGGGAAUACUUGGCUGGUAUCCACAGGAACCACUGAGGACAAAAGAUACCCAGGUCCCCAGACAGGCUCAAAAAUGGCUCUGAGCUAAUGUACAAAGUCCAUCAUCCACAGCACAGAGAAAAGAAAAGGGGCUUUGGAGACUUCUCCUUGUGCAGAAAAGCAGCCACCCAGGAGGACAUCAUGCAUUAGCAGGUGGCUCAUGAGGAUGUUUGUGUUCUUUCAUCAGAAGGAGAGAGGACUCCUGAGAAUUAUUGUACUUCCGGCUUUUAAUUUCUAGAUAAUGAAGACAACAAAGCUUCCUACAGCUAUGAGGUCCUGGCCUGCUCCCUGGGAACAGAGUGGGACCCUGAGGACACUGUUUUCAGUUGAUACAUAAUACCUGGUACAUACUCCUGGGAUAGAGGCCUGCUUCAGAAAAGACCAGGGGAAAUGUACGGUCUUAGUACUGAGAGCAAAUUAAAGCUGGAAGAAACCAUGAAGACGGAGAAGAGCAUUAGCGGCUGACUGUGAAUGAAACUCAAGAAUUCUUACUCUAGCUCUGAGAACAAGUUAGGGGCUGGCAGCUGACUGUGGAGCCCAAUGGCCUGGGUACAAAUUCUGAACAACAUCACUGAGUGGCUGUGUAACCACAGACAAGUCACAUAACCAA